rfam:Caenorhabditis remanei strain PB4641 contig51.5, whole genome shotgun sequence.
CUGUUUUCGUCUACCCUGUAGAUCGAGCUGUGUGUUUUGAAGUGUUCAUACACAAGCUAGACUGCAAGGUGAACGACAAAAUGA